AAUGAACGUUGGCGGCGUGGAUUAGGCAUGCAAGUCGAGCGCUCAUAGCAAUAUGGGAGCGGCGAACGGCGUAGUAAUAUGUAGGAACGUACCCUCGGGUCGGGGAUAGCCAUGGGAAACUGUGGGUAAUACCCGAUAAUCUCUGCGGAGCAAAGGUGUGAUUCCGCCUGAGGAGCGGCCUACACGAUAUUAGCUAGUUGGUAGGGUAAUGGCCUACCAAGGCUACGAUGUCUAGGGGGUGUGAGAGCAUGGCCCCCACGACCGGAACUGAGAUACUGUCCGGACACCUACGGGUGGCUGCAGUCGAGAAUCUUCCGCAAUGGACGAAAGUCUGACGGAGCGACGCCGCGUGCGGGAUGAAGGCCCUUGGGUUGUAAACCGCUGUCAGAGGGGAUGAAAUCUUCGGAGGUGCUCCUCCAAAGUUGACAGAGCCUCAAAGGAAGCACGGGCUAAGUACGUGCCAGCAGCCGCGGUAAAGUCACAUG
rnacentral:rRNA from 1 species